rnacentral:rRNA from 1 species
GCUCAGGAUAAACGCUGGCGGCGUGCUUCAGGCAUGCAAGUCGAACGAGUGGCCACCUUCGGGUGGUCUACUAGUGGCGGACGGGUGAGUAACGCGUUAGCAACCUGCCCAAAAGUGGGGAAUAACUAACCGAAAGGUUAGCUAAUACCGCAUGUGAUAGCUGGUCCUUGGACUGGUUAUGAAAGGCUUCGGUCGCUUUUGGAGGGGCUUGCGUCAGAUUAGCUAGUUGGUGGGGUAAUGGCCUACCAAGGCGACGAUCUGUAGCUGGUCUGAGAGGACGAUCAGCCACACGGGGACUGAGAUACGGCCCCGACUCCUACGGGAGGCAGCAGCUAGGAAUCUUGGGAAUGGGCGAAAGCCUGACCCAGCAACGCCGCGUGGGCGAUGAAGGCCUUCGGGUCGUAAAGCCCUUUUGCAGGGGACGAUGAUGACGGUACCCUGCGAAUAAGCCACGGCUAACUACGUGCCAGCAGCCGCGGUAAUACGUAGGUGGCAAGCGUUGUCCGGAUUUACUGGGCGUAAAGGGCGUGCAGGCGGUUUGUUAAGUGCAGGGUGAAAGCUCCCGGCUCAACUGGGAGAGGUCCUUGCAUACUGGCGAACUCGAGGGAGGCAGAGGAAAGUGGAAUUCCCGGUGUAGUGGUGAUAUGCGUAGAUAUCGGGAGGAACACCUGUGGCGAAGGCGGCUUUCUGGGCCUUACCUGACGCUGAGACGCGAAAGCGUGGGGAGCGAACCGGAUUAGAUACCCGGGUAGUCCACGCCGUAAACUAUGGACACUAGGUGUGGGGGGUAUCGACCCCCUCCGUGCCGAAGCUAACGCAAUAAGUGUCCCGCCUGGGGGAGUACGGCC